rnacentral:pre_miRNA from 1 species
AGUGGGAUAGCUGGGUCAAAUGGUGAUUCCAUACCAGGUUUUCUGAGGAAUCUUUGUACUGCUUUCCAUAAUGGCUGCACCAAUUUACAAUCCUACAAGCAAU